rnacentral:rRNA from 1 species
UGGGGAAUAUUGCACAAUGGGCGCAAGCCUGAUGCAGCCAUGCCGCGUGUGUGAAGAAGGCCUUCGGGUUGUAAAGCACUUUCAGCGAGGAGGAAGGGUAGUGUGUUAAUAGCACAUUGCAUUGACGUUACUCGCAGAAGAAGCACCGGCUAACUCCGUGCCAGCAGCCGCGGUAAUACGGAGGGUGCAAGCGUUAAUCGGAAUUACUGGGCGUAAAGCGCACGCAGGCGGUUUGUUAAGUCAGAUGAGAAAUCCCCGCGCUUAACGUGGGAACUGCAUUUGAAACUGGCAAGCUAGAGUCUUGUAGAGGGGGGUAGAAUUCCAGGUGUAGCGGUGAAAUGCGUAGAGAUCUGGAGGAAUACCGGUGGCGAAGGCGGCCCCCUGGACAAAGACUGACGCUCAGGUGCGAAAGCGUGGGGAGCAAACA